rnacentral:rRNA from 1 species
UCUGGUUGAUCCUGCAGUAGUGAUAUGCUUGUUUCAAAGAUUAAGCCAUGCAUGUCUAAGUAUAAGCGAACUUAUACAGUGAAACUGCGGAUGGCUCAUUAAAACAGUUUGAAUUUAUUUGAUGAAUGUAUGAGAAUACUACUUGGAUAACCGUAGUAAUUCUAGAGCUAAUACAUGCAACGACGCCCGACCGUUUCACUACGGAAGGGCUGUAUUUAUUGGAUACCAAAACCAUCCUUCCCUCGGGAAGUUUUGUUUGAUGAUUCACAAUAACUGAUCGGAUCGCCACUGUGGUGGCGACAGGUCAUUCAACAUUCUGCCCUAUCAGCUUUCGAUGGUUGUGUAGUGGACAACCAUGGCCAUAACGGGUAACGGAGAAUCAGGGUUCGAUUCCGGAGAAGGAGCUUGAGAAUUGGCUACUACAUCUAAGGUAGGCAGCAGGCGCGCAAAUUACCCAAUCCCGAUUCGGGGAGGUAGUGACAAAAAAUAACAAUACCGGGCCUUUUUGGGCUUGGUAAUUGGAAUGAGGGAGAGUUAAACGGACCAUCGAGUAUCCAUUGGAGGGCAAGUCUGGUGCCAGCAGCUGCGGUAAUACCAGCUCCAAUAGCGUAUAUUAAAGUUGUUGCAGUUAAAAAGCUCGUAGUUGGACUUGUGUGCGCUGUCCGCGGGUGGCCUGCGCCCAAAAGGGCGUUUCGGUUCGGCCCCGGUGGCGCCUUGAAAUCUGCAGCUGGGGGGACGUUGGCCUUAACUGGUCGGCGACCGCACGCCGGCUGCUCGGUUACUGUGAGAAAAUUAGAGUGUUCAAGGCAGGCAUUGGGUGCAAUUGAAUACAUUAGCAUGGAAUAAUAAAAUAUGGCUCCUGCCGUAUUUUGUUGGUUUUGACUGGUGGGAGUAAUGAUUGAUAGGGACGGUUGGGGGUGCUAGUAUUGAGCGGCCAGAGGUGAAAUUCAUGGAUUCGCUCAAGACUAACUUAUGCGAAAGCAUUCACCAAGGACGUCCUCUUUAAUCAAGAACGAAAGUUGGGGGAUCGAAGACGAUCAGAUACCGUCGUAGUCUCAACCAUAAACUAUGUCGACUUGGGAUCGGCGGUAGUUUUUUCAUUAAGACACUGUCGGGACCACGGGAGAAAUCAAAGUGUCUGGACUCUGGGGGAAGUAUAGUCGCAAGGCUGAAACUUGAAGGAAUUGACGGAAGGGCACCACCAGGAGUGGAGCCUGCGGCUUAAUUUGACUCAACACGGGGAAACUUACCAGGUCCAGAGAUGUAGAGGAUUGACAGAUUGAAGCUC